rnacentral:rRNA from 1 species
GUGUCAGCAGCCGCGGUAAUACGUAGGAGGCAAGCGUUAUCCGGAUUUAUUGGGCGUACAGAGAGUGUAGGCGGCUCGUCAAGUCGAAUGUAAAAUCUUCCGGCUUAACUGGAAGGGAUCAUUCGAUACUGACGGACUGGAGUGCAGUAGAGGAAAGCGGAAUUCCCGGUGUAGUGGUGAAAUGCGUAGAUAUCGGGAGGAACACCAGUGGCGAAGGCGGCUUUCCAGGCUGCUACUGACGCUGAGGCUCGAAAGCGUGGGGAGCAAACAGGAUUAGAUACCCUGGUAGUCCACGCUGUAAACUAUGGACACUAGGUAUGGGGAGUAUCGACCCUUCCCGUGCCGAAGUUAACGCAUUAAGUGUCCCGCCUGGGGAGUACGGUCGCAAGACUAAAACUCAAAUGAAUUGACGGGG